UACGUAGGGUGCAAGCGUUGUCCGGAAUUAUUGGGCGUAAAGAGCUCGUAGGCGGUUUGUCGCGUCUGCUGUGAAAACUCGGGGCUUAACUCCGGGCCUGCAGUGGGUACGGGCAGACUAGAGUGCGGCAGGGGAGACUGGAUCUGGUGUAGCGGUGAAAUGCGCAGAUAUCAGGAGGAACACCGGUGGCGAAGGCGGGUCUCUGGGCCGAUACUGACGCUGAGGAGCGAAAGCGUGGGGAGCGAACAGG
rnacentral:rRNA from 1 species